rnacentral:rRNA from 1 species
UACGAAGGGGGCUAGCGUUGCUCGGAAUCACUGGGCGUAAAGCGCACGUAGGCGGACCUUUAAGUCAGGGGUGAAAUCCUGGAGCUCAACUCCAGAACUGCCUUUGAUACUGGAGAUCUCGAGUCCGGAAGAGGUGAGUGGAACUCCGAGUGUAGAGGUGAAAUUCGUAGAUAUUCGGAAGAACACCAGUGGCGAAGGCGGCUCACUGGUCCGGUACUGACGCUGAGGUGCGAAAGCGUGGGGAGCAAACAGG